rnacentral:lncRNA from 1 species
AUAGCAUUUUUUUAGUUUUUACUUGACUUUAUGUGCAUAAAUUAAUUUUAAGCUGAUUUGCACUAUUUUGGUAAUGGGGUGAGGAUUUUAGUUGAAUUUUUAGAUGGGUAUUGUAAUUUUAUAUCUGUGUAAUGUGUUUUCCCUUUUGGUAAAUUUAGAUACUAUGUGGCACUGUACUCGGUCUCAUAUCAUUUAAUUUUUCGUUCUCCCAAGAAAUGCAUCUGGUUCAUGUUUUUGACAGUUAACUUAAACCAAUCUGCUCUAGCAUCUUAUCAUACUCUACUCAUCUAUACAGAAGCACAUAUGUUGCAUGGACCAUUCAUCGAUGCUUUGAAUUGUGAAGUAAGAUUAUCCUGUUAAAACAAUCUGUAAAAUUGAU